rnacentral:rRNA from 1 species
GUAAGUCUGUUGUUAAAGACCAGGGCUUAACCCUGGGAAAGCAAUGGAAACUACUAGACUUGAGUAUGGCAGGGGUAGAGGGAAUUUCUAGUGUAGCGGUGAAAUGCGUAGAUAUUAGAAAGAACACCGGCGGCGAAAGCGCUCUACUGGACCAUUACUGACACUCAGAGGCGAAAGCUAGGGGAGCAAAAGGGAUUAGAUACCCCUGUAGUCCUAGCCGUAAACGAUGGAUACUAGAUGUUGCGCAAUUUGUGCAGUAUCUUAGCUAACGCGUUAAGUAUCCCGCCUGGGGAGUACGCUCGCAAGGGUGAAACUCAAAGGAAUUGACGGGGGCCCGCACAAGCGGUGGAGCAUGUGGUUUAAUUCGAUGCAACGCGAAGAACCUUACCAGGGCUUGACAUACUGCGAAUCUUUUUGAGAAAGAAGAGUGCCUUCGGGAAUGCAGAUACAGGUGGUGCAUGGCUGUCGUCAGCUCGUGUCGUGAGAUGUUGGGUUAAGUCCCGCAACGAGCGCAACCCUUGUUUUUAGUUAC